AGGGAGGGAAAGGAAAGGAACUAUUUAGCAUUAAUUUUGACAUCCUGGCAAAACUACUACAUGGGGUAAAAGGACAGAACUGAGAUACCUUCCCAAACCUAAAGUUUAACACAUUAUAGAAAGCAAGCUGUAAUUUUAUACUCUGUGCCAUUGGGUAUCACUGCGCACAGCUGGUUAGUUUUUGUCUCUGGGCAUUGCUGCAGAACACUUGGGGAUGGCAGUGAGUCAGACACAAAGCCCCAAGUCCUCCUGAGAAAACACAAGGGCUCUUACAAACAAGAAGUCACUUUUGGUACGACCCUCUCAGGCCCUUGGCUAACAUUUUGAAAUGUCACAGGACAAAACUCCCCCGCCCGCUUGCCCUUCCUUUAGAUCAUUUUCCCACAGUGCUUCAGUGUCAGGUGUAAGAGUCAAACGUCAUAGCCAUAAAUAAGCAUUUGAGUUGACUUUUCCAGAUUGAACAGUUCUGGCUGCCCCACCUCAGUACGAUGCACUAAUCAGAACCGUAUGCCUCAGUAAGUUUUGUUUGGUGUCUCACCAUCUCCUAAAACGUCCUUCCAGAUUAAAUCGUUGUUUACUUCACCACGUUUGGCAGAACCAGUUGCCUUGAGUCUAAAGGUUUUGCUCUUCAAAUUAACUUCCCUCAUUUUGCUUUUUUCUCUCUCUAUGUUUAAAGGGCUCUCUGAGAUCUGAUACUAUUUUGCUGACAGGAAUGUGAGAGAUACUUUAUAUUCAUUUAUUAUAAGAUUAAGUAAAUGUUAAGAUUAUGCUAGCCAUAAGAAUCAGGUUUUCUCUCUCUGAAAUCUCUCUUCAUCUUGGGGACGUUUUUGUUCAGCAGCCUAACCGCAUAUCACAUAAUGGAUGAUUAAUAGCCAAGGAAGAGAAGAAGUGGCCUCAUGAGUCAUUUCUAGGGAAUACUUAGUUUUAGAUUGCCUGGCUUCUUAUUUACUGUAACUUCUAUGUGUAUGGGUAUUUGGGUUAUGUGCAUGUCUGGGCAGCAUGUGUGUGCCUGGUACCACAGACGUAGAAGACAGCGUUAGAGCUCACGGUUUACUUUUCUCCAAUGGUUCUUUCUACAUUAUGUUACUUCCUUCCUUUACCCCUUCUCUAUAGAUACCCCAUCAUUAAAUCUUUGUGAAUUUAGUUUUUCUUUAGUUGUUCUUCUAUGAUUUAUGACUUUUUCAAGAGAAGAAACAAUCAAACUUAAAACAAAACAACA
rnacentral:lncRNA from 1 species